GCUGGCGUUAUCACAGUGAUCCAGCUGACGUUAUCACAGUGAUCCAGCUGGCGUUAUCACAGUGAUCCAGCUGGCGUUAUCACAGGGAUCCAGCUGGCGUUAUCACAGUGAUCCAGCUGGCGUUAUCACAGUGAUCCAGCUGGCGUUAUCACAGUGAUCCAGCUGGCGUUAUCACAGUGAUCCAGCUGGCGUUAUCACAGUGAUCCAGCUGGUAUUAUCACAGUGAUCCAGCUGGUGUUAUCACAGUGAUCCACUGUGAGACACUGUGUGUGUGAUUCUGUGUGUGUGUGAGACGCAGUGUUAUUUACCAUCUCCCUCUCCCCAGAGGUAUUUACCAUCUCCCUCUCCCCAGAGGUAUUUACCAUCUCCCUCUCCACAGAGGUAUUUACCAUCUCCCUCUCCCC
rnacentral:lncRNA from 1 species